GUACUGGACCAACAAUUCAGUAUCAAAGAUAUCUGCCACUUAAAAUAUUUUUUAGGCUUCGAAAUAGCUCGAUCAUCCAAAGGCAUCACAUUAUGCCAACGCAAAUAUUGCUUGGAUUUGCUCAACCACACAAGCCUGCUAGGAGCAAAACUGGUUUCUAUACCAAUGGAUCCAGGCCAGCAACUACAGAAUCCAAAUGAAGACCUUUUACAAGACCCUUCUGAAUUUAGAAGCAUAAUCGACUCAUCUCGCAACUGCUUACAGAAUCGUUCGUUACCUGAAAAAGGAACCUGCACUAAGCCUCCAUUUCAAAUGCAAUUUAUCAUCUCACAUGACCGGCUUUGCCGACUCUGA